UACGGAGGGUGCGAGCGUUGUCCGGAAUCACUGGGCGUAAAGGGCGCGUAGGCGGCGCGGUAAGCGUGCGGUGAAAGUCCGGGGCUCAACCCCGGAUCGGCCGUGCGGACUGCCGGGCUUGAGCACUGUAGGGGCGGGUGGAACUCCAGGUGUAGCGGUGGAAUGCGUAGAGAUCCGGAAGAACACCGGUGGCGAAGGCGGCCCGCUGGGCAGUGGCUGACGCUGAGGCGCGACAGCGUGGGGAGCAAACAGG
rnacentral:rRNA from 1 species